GUGCUGGCUUUGGCAGUGUGUGUACUAAAAUUGGAACAAUACAGAGAUUAGCAUGGCCCCUGCAGAAGGAUGACACACAAAUUUGUGAAGCGUUCCAUAUUUUU